UGGGGAAUCUUGGUCAAUGGGCGCAAGCCUGAACCAGCGACGCCGCGUGAGUGAUGAAGGCCUUCGGGUUGUAAAGCUCUGUGGGGAGAGACGAAAGAAUCGGUUCUAACAGGACCGAAGUUGACGGUAUCUCCUUAGCAAGCACCGGCUAACUCUGUGCCAGCAGCCGCGGUAAGACAGAGGGUGCAAACGUUGCUCGGAAUCACUGGGCGUAAAGGGCGUGUAGGCGGGUAGAUAAGUCGGGCGUGAAAUCCCUAGGCUCAACCUAGGAACUGCACUCGAAACUGUUUAUCUUGAGUGCCGGAGAGGAAAGCGGAAUUCCUGGUGUAGAGGUGAAAUUCGUAGAUAUCAGGAGGAACACCAGUGGCGAAGGCGGCUUUCUGGACGGUAACUGACGCUGAGACGCGAAAGCGUGGGGAGCAAACAG
rnacentral:rRNA from 1 species